GUUGAAAUCGUUCCCGGGAAGAUCAUUCAAGAAGGCUUGGAGUGAAGGAGAUGGACGGUUCAGUUUUUGGAAGGUGGCAUGGAUGUUGUGUAUGAUAUCUGAUACCGCCAAAAGGGUGUUGGGUCCGGAAGAGCAUCCCAAGUCUGCUAUUUUCAAACAGUCAGAGAAGAGUUUGCUGCAAAGCUGCUCUAUGCUUGCCUUAACUAUGGGCUUCACCAUCGAAAUCACAGCUCUCUGAAAUAAAUUCAGACAGCUGAAUAUUAUUAAAAAGUUCUUAAUUUUAUGAAAACAAGUUCCCGUCAUAUUAAAAAAGAUCAUUAAAAUCGAAUAUGAUCAACAGAGACAAAAAAAGAAUUAGAGAAACAGAUGCUGACUAACUUGAAGUAGAGAGUUGGUUGCAUAGCUUGUUUUCCCAAUUCCUCCAUUCAUGUGAAGCACUUGCUCUACCUCCAUUUUAGUUUGUGUUCUCAAAUAAUGCUUCUCUACACUCUUAAUUCUGGUGCCUAUUCUGCUAUAAGAGCUGCAUAUUUAUAGCAAAAUACUUACCUCAUGCAGCUUACGUGUUAUUAGGUAUAUAGUAAUUUUUUGUGUACUUGGAACCCCGUCGCACGAUAUUAUUAGUACAGUAAAAUUAUCGUACGUGUAUUUGUUUUUUAUCAAUAUAUUCUAGAAGUAAAACAUAUCAAUUAUGUCGUCGCACAUAUUAUACAUAUAAUGGUUACACUAAAUGAUGAUGUUCCCGCUUUCUGUAAGUUUUAGUACAUCACAACCUAAAAGAAUAUGAUAUGUUAGUAGACAAAUAACUUAAUAUUUUCUGUGAGUUUAGUUAAGAGAAUUGCUAGGUAAACUAAAUUUGUAGACUAAUUUUCAAAUUAAAUGAUGUCUCACUAAUAAAAAAUAAGAGCGUUAAUUAACAUUAAAGUAAUAAUCCUAUCAUCAAUUUCCAUGUUAUUUACUUACAAAAUUUAGUCUACAAAUUUAGUCUCCCUAACAUUACCCUUUAGUUAAAGAGUAGGUGACUAGUUUACAUACGGCUCCAUGUGUCAUAAACGUGACAUCAUCUAUAAAUCACCCAGCUUCUCUGCCCGCCCACUUCCCAUACACUCUCAUCCCCUCUUAUUUUGUGCGGUCACGGUUAAGCCACGUCAACAUUUUAUAUUGAUUUUUUCAUAGAGAUAAUAAGACAAAAAAUAAUAGUAAUAUAAAAUGUUGACGUGGCUUAACCGUGACCGCACAAAUAGAAGGGGAUAAAAGUGUAUGGAAAGUGGGAGGGCUAAGAAGCCAGGUCCAUAAUUAAAUUAGUCUAACAAACACUUGUUUGGCGUCAUUAGAGUCUACAUCAAUCAAGCUUUGGUACAUUACAUGAUGUACAUUAAAAAAUGUCGUUUACUCUUGAAAGAAUCUAAAAUUGAUUCCGUGGUGUUGGUCUUGUCGCCUAUGAAUAUGAUUUACUAAGAGCUCAUUUGGAUAUACUCUUAAAAUAACUGAAAGUAUUUUUUGUUAAAAUAUUUUUGAAAUCAAUCCUUAGUAAAAAUGCAAGUAAAUCCUGGAAAAGCACUUAUAUGUUUUUUAACAACUUGAAAAUUAAAAAAAAAUUGUCAUAAUUUUCUUUUUUUUUGACAAUUAAACACCAUUAUACGUACAUUCAUCAUACAUUUCUGUAUUUUAAUUUUUUAAGUCCUUAUACCAUUCCAAUAAUUGAAAUAAUAGUUUACGGAUGAUAUUUUUAACUGUUACCAAUGAAGGUAAUAUAAUAUUUGCUAAGUAUUCUUGGGUUACGAAAACUGUUUAGAAGAUAGUAUUCUUGGAUUAUUUAACCCAUAAUGUAAAGUAUUAACAUAACAUAUAUCAUGAGCUACAUUAUAUUAUAAUUAGCUAUAUAAACCAUGCACUAUAGUCAAUAGCAUUGAUAUAAGUUUUGUCCGAUAGAGAACAUGGUUAGGAGAAUGAUUACACUUGUUGACCAUGAAUCAUGUCUUUUCGGCAACAAUCAAAAGAUGCAACAUUCAAAUUGAAGAGAUGUGAUUGUUGGGUUAAUAACACAACUUCCCAUCUCCUGCCAAACAGCCACAUAUAUAUAAUUUUAUUUUUAAAAUAUUCAACAUUACAUAUAUAAAAUCAAUGGGUAAAUGGUUACCCGUUUAUAACCGUAGUUAAUACCCAUAACCACCCAUUUAAAUUUCACAGGUAAAUAGUUAUACCCAUAACUGUAACCGUGAAGUUUAAAUGGACGGGUAAUCAUGGUUACCCAUAACCGCGGGUUUUGCCCAUCCCUACUUAUAUGAGAAUUGCAAACUAAGUUGAAGCAAAUUCUAAUCAAUUUGUGGUUAUCACUUGGCAUGAACAAAAAAAAUAUUUGAAGUCCUUUGCAUAACAUAGCAUAGAAAAUAACUUAACAUAUAUUUUAACCCUUUUAUCGUACAAUCUCUUGAUUAGAAGCUCGGUUUACUUGUGACGCAAGUUUACAAUCUAACAAUAAUAUUAAUCAAAAUUUAUGUUGGUCUUAGCCAACAGUGACAUGCCUGACAAUAAAUUAGGAAAAAAACAAUAACAUUCAAAAACUAUUGUAAAGGGGUAUUGAUCCUUAACUUAAUCCUUCCUUCCAUACCUACUCACCACUACGCCAACAAGGCCCAUUGUCUAUUUAAGUGCAAAGUAAAACUUAAAUCCCUAUACUUUCCUACUACUUUGCUAAUCAUAGGGAACUCUAACCUUGGUAAAUCAAAGUCAAUGCGACCACCAUGAGUAAUGUUAUUCAUACCAUAUUUUUAGAGUGCAUUUUUGCUCACCACCAUUUAGCAGUGUAUGCUCACCGCCUUUUUUAUCACCGUUAGAUGAGUUUGAAUUUUGAGAUUUGUGCCUAUCUACUACAUGAAUCUCAAAAUUCAAACUUAUCUAACUGUGGUAAAUAGGGUGGUGAGCAUACACCACAUUAAAUGGCGGUGAGCAAAAAUGCUCCCUAUAUUUUUAUACCACAUUUCUAUACCACCUUAGGUGGCAUUUGAUGUGGACAGCCACAUCAUUUGAAAAAUUUGCAAAACCCAAGGAAAGAAAGGAGAAAGACUCCUCGUAUACCACAAUCAUCAUUUAAUUAACUAGUUUUUCUUAAUUAUUAGUUUAUUAAAUAAUUAACUAAAUUAAAAAAUCUGAUUAAUUCAAAUGAUGUAGUUGUCCACAUCAAAUGCCACCUAAGGUGGUAUGAAAAUUUGAUACAAAAACAUGGUAUGAAUAGCAUUACUCGACCACUAUAUACUCAACCCUAAGUUCCAAAGCGAGAUGCAUACUUGCUAACAGUCUCGUAUUUUUCCUAGUUGUUCGACACUUUGAAUUUGAAACGUAGAGCAUAUUCAAAUUCCAUGCAGUCACAGGUAAUGAUAAGCAAUUUAGCUCUGCUUCUGUUGGAUAGCCCAUUCAUAAAUAGGCUCCAUUGCCCGAAUGUUGCUUCCGGGUAAUGGUCCUCGAGUCUAUCAUAAUGGCCUUACCUACGUGUGACGGAGUGAACUCAACUGUAAAGUCUACCAUUUCCUACUCAUUUUGAGCAUGCGUUGCUUUAAAUUGUAUAACAAAACCUCCUAGCUUAAUCGUUUAUUUAAUCACUCGUCUCGAGACCUUCGAUUGUUCAAUACUUGUCAUAAUGGGUAGCUGGUAAGAAUCACUAUUGAGUGUGCUUGGAAGUUUGCCCAGAGCUUUUAAGCAGACAUAAUGAGAGCGAGCACAAGCUUCUCUACCUUUGGAUGACAACCUUUGCUUCUAUCAGUGCUUGACUUACACAGUAUACUAGUUGUUGCACUUGCUCUUCCUCUCUUAUGAGCACUGAACUCAUGGCUGAUGGUGACACAUACAAAUAUAUGUACAGGGGUUUGCCUUGUAACGGUUUAGACACAAGAUGAUCGGCCUAUAUGAGCCUUCAAAUUAUCAAAAGCUUGCUGACAUUCAGAUAUCCGCUAUAUAAUCCGUACAACUCCUCUAAGUGCUUUAAAGAAAGGUAAGAAGCAAUCAGUUGAUCAUUAGACAAAAUGGUUAAGAGCAUCGACUCAACCGAUAAGCUAUGUAUCUCCUUUUUUGUGCGUGAAAGUGUUAGAUUUAUGAGCGCCAUGAUUUUUCUGGGUUAUCGUCAAUCCCUUUCUAACUUACCAUGAACCCUAAAAUUUUACUCGAGUUAACCGCGAAGGCAUACUUGGUGGAGUUCAUCUUCAUUUAGUAAGCAUAUAGAAUCUUUAAUACUUUGGCCAACUUGGCUAAGUGUUGGUUCUCUUCCCGCUCUUAACGAGCAUGGUCAUCAACAUAUACUUCUAGAAUCUUGCCAACGUGUUUGGCAAACAUUUGAUUUACCAACCAUUGGUAUGUAGCCCAUGUAUUCUUGAGCACAAGGGGCAUCACGUCCCAACAAUAGAGGCCUCCAUCGGUAAUGAAUGUCGUGUCAUUUUGGUCGGCCGAGUGCAUACAUAACUAGUUGUACCUUGAUUAUGCAUUGAGAAGGCUCAAAAGCUCUUGGUCGGCAGUUGCAUCUAUCGGGUGGUUGAUACGAGGUAAAGGGAAGCUCUCCUUAGGGCAUGCUCCAUUCAGGUCGGUAUAAUCUAUGCACAUGAGCCAUUUGAUAGGACGUUCAGCUGCCUCGAUCUUCUUUACCAUGAUCACGUUGGCUACCUGCCUUAGGUAAUCCACUUUCCUAAUGAAUCUUAUGUCUAGCAACUUGUCACUUCCACCUUCAUGGCUUCAUGGCGCUUGGUAUCAUCUCUUAUGUCAUACUGGUUUACAGUACGAGUCAAGACUAAGGCGGUGGGAUAUAACUCUUAAAUUAAUGCUAGUUAUGUUUACGUAGGACCAUGCAGAGACAUUUGUAUGCACUCUUAGAAAGCAGACCAUUUCUGGUUGUCCCAGUUUCACGUUGUAGGAUGAGAGGCAAUCUAAAACCAUGAAGUUGGUCGUGAGGUUGGCUUUUUUAGGGUAAAUGUGGGACUAUGAUUUUCCAGGGCCGGAGUAAGGUUGAUCCAAAUAAUGCUACCUUAGAAGUUCGUUCAUGGACUCACGAUUUUCGGACGAAACUGUAUCAAACGAAGUAGGAUGCCACUGAUGAGUUCAUAUUAUACUACAUAUUUUACCCUAAUCUUAGUAUUAAUUUAUUGGUUAUUUUUUGUGAUUUUGAUGCUUUGAAUUAUUUUUCCAAUGUAGGAUAUUUGAAUUCCUCUUGAGCGAAAAGUGAUCAAACGGAUGAAUUAUAGAGUGAUUCCAAUUGGAGGAUGUUCAUGAGUCUUUCAAGAUGAUUGUAGCAAAGUUUCAGAUUUUUCUACCAAGCCAUUUGACCAUGGCCAAGAAAAGAAGGCCCAACGCGUAGCUUUCCUAGAUUGACGUUUAUAGACGUUUAUAGACGUUUUGAUCAUUUUGGAGGUGAAGAUGGCAUAUUUUGAGGAAGAUUCAUUCUGAGGAUUUGUUAGGGACGACUUAAGCUUUAAAAAGAGACGUUUUAGGACAAAAUUGGAGUUGAUUUGGUCGGUCAAAGUUUGAUUUUAUGAGAAGUCUGAAUUUCAGUUUAAAUAGGAAACCUUUUAUUUUCUAGUUAUCUUAUUCUAUUAUGUUUCCUAGUUUUUAGAAUACCUUUUCUAUGAAGGAUUUUAUUUUCUAGUAGUAUAAAUAAGGCUAUUUAGCCAUAAGAGAAUGCACGCACUAAUUUGGAUAAUUUCAUACUUUUUACCUACAAGGUGUUUUCUAUCCAUGUUCUUAAUAAUAUUUUGUUUUAUGGUUGUUCGUAACUAAUUUCCGUUUACUUGGGCAAUGCCUUGAGCCUUAGCAUGAAUACGUAGUUUUUAUUUAAUCGCUUAUGAUAUUAUGCAUGCAUACUUUGAAUUAUUAAUCACUGUGUUUAAACUAUCUCUAUAUCUUAAUGCUUAGCUACCAUUAGGAUUAGAUAAGUAAUCAGAUGCAAUUCGGUCGGAAUGCCAUUGGAGGAUUGAGUAUUGCUUCUUGUGAUUGAUAGUUGUAAUUUCACUUAGGGCGAAUGCCAUGUCUUAAGGAUUGCAUGUAAGAAACUUAAUGUGAGUUUCAUAAAACAUUUGACAAGUGUAAUAUUAUAAGUUAAGUGAGUUAUAUAUAUUGAAUUUAGCCUAACUAAUGCACUAAUGCAGUUUCCAGAGUUAAGACUUGGAGGGAAACCUAAGGAGAUUCAAAUUGAUUUGCAUCAAACAGUUACAUUGAAGAUGUAACUGGUGGUAACUCCUUUCUUGAUGGGAGGAAGGAACUACUACAAGUAUAUAUAUAUAUAGCGAUAUGGUCCAUUCUCUCAGUGAAAAUAUAUUACCACUUCAGAUUUUGACAUGAACUCGUCCCAUUGAGAGUUUGGUAAUGCUAUUGAUUUCACAAGAGAGAAGAAGGUUGUAGUCGCAUGCAGGUUAGCGCCUCUGCCACUCAAGCGGUGGAUUCUAUUAGUGCUUUUCCAAAUUUAUUUAUCAAAACCUUUUCCUUUUGAUCUGAUUUCUUCUUAAUUGAUUACUAGUUGUUUUUCCUAGAUUACUUUUAUUAAAUUCAUUUUUAUUACAUUUAAAUUCAAAAACAACCCUUUGCAAUCUUUGUUUUCAAAUAAUUAACUAAGAUUUUGAUUUUGCAUAAAUUGUUUUAUAUAAUCCAUGUGGAAACAACCUUACCUAAGUCGUUUAUACUACAACUACCUUGUUCUCUUGCAAGUAUUUUUAAGUGUUUUUAUCCCUACUUUUGCAGGUGGUAAAAAUCCUAUCAGCCAUCAUGACUUUACUCUGAGGCACUCCAAGCGACAUUGUUGGGUGACCAUGCUUUUUCUGCAAGAUACGCAAUUUGAUCUAGUUAUGGACUCAAUCAAAUCAUAUAAGUCUUAGAGUCUCUACGAUUUAGGAAUAGGUAUGCGCUGCAAGUAAUCACACUCAUAAGAGGACGCAAUACCUACUUACUAGAUAUCCUCUCGGAUUCUCCUGGCUUAGAACAAGGAUUAUAUCCUAAAAAUGUCUCUUUCCCACAGUAUAAAUACACCCACCUAGGGUUCAUCUAUGGUAACACAAUCGAUACACUAGAAUUCUCUUGCCCACUGCUUGAGUCCAAAAUCAUUCAAUAACUUGACCGUCAGAUAGCCUUUAGCCGGAUCACCCCCCAAAGGUUUGCUUACAAUUAUUUACUAUUUUGCAAGUUGUUCCAGACUACAUGGAUUUGUGCUCAACCGCCAUUUACAAAGGUUGUUCUAGACUACAUAGAUUUAUGCUUAACCUUCGCUCAUGGAGGUGUGCAGAUUUGGUUCCAACAAAUGGUGCUUUCAUUGAGAAAGAACCCAUAUUCUUCUUGACCAGACCAUUCCCUAAUAAACAUUUCAACUAAAGAAAACUCAAUUAACUCCCUCGUCAACCUGUUUGGCGAAGAAGGCUUGCCCUUUGAUGCAUUAGCUAUCCUUGGGGUAAGAAGUUCGUUGCCUCCAACUACUACAGCAACGCCUGGAGCCAACGACAACGCCUGGAGCCAACGACAAUCCUUAAGGGAUGACAGCCACAUAUAAGGAAGAAAGAUAUCUAGUAAAAGGACAUCCCCCUUCUAUGGAUCAGAUUUGGGAAACUCUAACCAAAAUUAGCACUUCUGUCGAAAAUAUGUAGAAGAGCCAGACCAACGCUCAUGUUGAAGGCCAUUCCAACUUUGUGGACAUGGAAAAAUGAAUGAAAAACUUAGAGAACUUGAGUGGGACAACGUCUCAUACCCAAAUCCUCGUCUUUGGAUUUAGAAGCAGUGUUCUAAAAAUCGGCCUAGGUGGUGCCUAGACGCUGGGCGGUGGCUGGCCAUGGGGAUUAACUCAAAAUCGGGAGAAAAAUCGGGACAUGAAUUAGGCGGCCUCCGAAACAGCCUGGGCGGCCUAGGCGGGCGACUGAGUGGCCUACGGGGUCCAGGAAUUUCAGUUUUGUUCUUUUAUUUCAAGAAUGCAGAUCAGCUGCAAUCUUGUCUUUCUGGUUUUUGGUUCACGGUUUGGCAAAAGGAUGAAGACGAUGAAAGAUGACUUUCUUUCUCUCUCUCUCUCUCUCUUUGUUUCACACCACGUACACGGGACAUUCUUUUCUUAUUUAAUUUUUUUUCUUAGUUUCCCUCCAAUCAAAUUUUGACAGCAUGCAUCAAGUUGCUUGCUUUUUGUCAAAAGCCAUAGACUGUCAGUCUUGCAUAUUGAUUUUUCUUGUAAAAAAUGAUGGGGUGUGAGUCCCUACAUCCAAACACCUUUAUUUCUCUUUAAAUUAAACAUAAAAAAAUAUUUUUUUUAAAUUACUAUGAACCACCCACCCAUAUUCACAUCAGACCACCUAACUCACGUGGGAUUUUUACUUUUAAUUUUUUUUAAAAUUAGAUAUAAUCAUUCAAAAUGUAUUAAGUUAUAUGGCAUAUAUGCUUAAUGUGUUUUUAAAUUUUGGACUUAUUAGAUACUUUUUUUUGCAUUUUAUCCAUAGAUUUCAUACAAGUAUAAUUGUGUAUAAGUGUCAAUAUGUAUUAUUUAUAAGAUAUACAAAAAAUUUAUCUAAAUCCGCCUAGGCCGCCUAGACCCUGCCUAGCCGCCUAGGUGCUAGGCGCUAGCCCGCUGCCCGACUAGCGCCUAGCGUUUUUUAGAACCUUGUUUGGAAGCAUAAACACCAUAACCCCAUAAGGCGACCUUAUAACAUCUUCAAUCAUUCAGGCAUCAGCAAACACCGUAAGCCCCAAGAGAAGUCCUUUUGACAAUAAACGGAUCCCAGACGCACAUACAGGGGAAGGAACCCAGAAUCCGGAAAAACCUCCUUAAAGCACCUCGGGAGUACUGAGAGCAAAACCUCGCCGUUUAAGGUUCAAUGAACCCGAGGUUCUUGGGAAUUAAGAACAACGAUAUUCUCUAAACGAAGAUAACCAAGCAAAUCUCAUCUAUCUCCGCACACCGAGCAAGCUGAUGGUCUGAAUUAGGACACAUUUUUUAGGAACGAUCAAAAGAGUUCCUCCGCCAGAAAAAUUCUCUCCACCAAGGUUCAAGUCAAUUUGCGGUGACUCUGACCCCAACUACCAUAUCAUAUAUUAUAGAAACGACAUGGCGUUAUAUAGCAACAAUGACACCUGGAUGUGAAGAUGUUCUCGUUUACCUUGGAGGGCCUUACUAUAAGAUGGUAUUCAAAAUUACCGGCCAGGUCCAUAUACUGCUUUGAAACUUUGGCUGACUUAUUUACAAACACUUAUUAUGUAUACCGCGAUGUUCAGAAACGCCAUGAAACUAUGUUCAGGAUACUCCCUCAGACUAGAGAUGAAAGUCUUAGAGCCUAUUUGAAACGCUUCCGAGCAAAGUUGGUUAAGGUGGAAAAACCAGACGAUAAACUCGUAACUAUAGCAUUCAAGUGAGACAUCUAUGUCUAUUCACCUCUUUCCCAGAAUUUGUAUAGGAAAAAGUAGGACUAUGUUACUCUAGCAGAGUGCUUCAAUAAAGCAGGCGAUAUGACUGAUUGGGACGACAAGAGUCAAAUAACAACCAUUGAGUCGGACUACUCUAGAAAAAUCGACAUAAGAAUGAUGAACAAAGACACUCCCCGACCUUCUCCUCGAUAGGUCUUGAGAGGAAGGCGCUGAUACGAGAAAGUCCCACCAAAACCUAAACAAUAUACAACCCUGAAUACUGCUAGUAAUAACAUCUUCCACAACAUAAAGGAUAAACCCUUCUUUUGACGCCCAAAACUACUCUCAGAACAUCUGGCUAAGAAAAACCAGAGCAAAUAUUGCUCUUUCCACAAGAGUACUGGCCACGCCACUAGGUUGCUAAGCGUGAAUGGAUCAUAUCGAGGAACUUCUGGAUCAGAGGCACUGCUGGGAAUUCAUUAGGGAUAAGGAAAAGAAAGAAUAAUCAGUACCCAGGGAAAAAGAUCGGUCGAAUAAACACACUGAUGAUGAUGACUGACGGCCUGUAAAGAAACUAACCCUUAAUAUAAACUUCAACUGUGAAAGACGGAUGUAGGCAGCAGAAAGGGUCGUAAAAAUGAUUAAGGAUGAAAGUCUUAGAGCCUAUUUGAAGCGUUUCUGAGAAGAGUUCACUGAGGUGGAACAACCAGACGACAAACUCGUAAAUAUGGGCAUUCAAGCGAGGCCUCAAUGUCCACUCACCUAUCUCCCAGAAGUUGAACAAGAAGAAGUAGGACUACGCUACUCUAGCUGAGUGUUUCAAUAUCUCGGACGAUUUGAAUGAUUGGGACGACAAAAGUUGAAAGACAACCAUUGAGCCGGACAACUUUAGGAAAUCUGACAGAAUGAUGGACAGAGGCACUCCCCUACUUUCUUUGCGACAUGUCAUGAGAGAAGGACACCGAGACAAGCAAGUCCCAUCAAAACCUAAACAAUAUAUAGCCCUGAAUACCGCCAUUAAUAACAUUCUCUAUAGCAUAAAUGAUAAACCCUUCCUCUAACACCCAAAAUUACUCCCGAAACAUCUAGUUAAGAAAAUCCCAAAUGAAUAUUGAUCUUUCCAUAAGUACUGGCCACACCACCAGAGAUUGUUGAGCGUAUAGGGAUCAUAUCAAGGAACUGUUGGAUCAAGGGCACUACUGGGAAUUCUUUGGGGAUAAGGGAAAUAAAGAAUAUUUAGUCAAACCUAAGCAAAUAGAUCGGUCGGAUAAACAUACUGAUAAUGAAAACUAACGGCCUGCAAAGAAACUGACCCUUAACAUAAACUUCAUUCGUUAAAGAUGGAUAUAGGCAGUAGAAGGGGUUGUGAGAAAUCCAGUACCAAUCACUCCAAAAUGGAUGCCUCGUCGUCACGUCAAGAUUUAAUAAAAGUAAAAGGUAACACAAACUACACAUGGUUUGAUUUUCUUCCCAGAUAUCUCUGAACCCAAUCACAACGCCGCUAUUUGCACGAAGACAAGUACACGGAGAACUCAUCUCCUAAUGCCCCACCAUAGGCUUAUCGUCAAAAGUGAUCCCUGGUGUAAUUUUUAUGUCAUAUCAUUGUUUCCUUACAACUACACUAGUGAUUUGAUUCUCUAUCCUAGGGAUAUGUAGGCAAUUAUUCUCGAAGUCAAUCACACCCUUUUGUAAACCAACUUUAUUUGGAUCAUCAAUAAAGAGUGUAUGUUCGUCUUAAAUGUGUGUUUUUUCUUUAUUUUUUAGUGUUGCAGGGACCUUACUCAUUCAGAACAGGGCCCUAACUUUGAAAACUUCACAACAGUGCAAGUCUAAAAAUGUUUAAAGUUACACUGUCAGAUGAGCUUCAUUUAGCCCAAUCUGUCUGGAAUGGUUAACAGCUUGGGAAACUCGAACGGUAAUAAGUGCGACAACAAUUGGUAGACUAAUGGGAACAUGGGCCUUGACCAAGAAGUCGAAUGCACACUUCGACUUUUGGAAAGUUUAUGCAACCAACAAGGUUGUUGGUUAUAACAUUCAAACCAGGCUCUACGCCAUUUGAGGGAAUAGUCGAAGGGUGAUCUGGAACUCAUCCAAAUGUGGCUCUAAAAUCUGACCCUGAGUACAACUACUCUUAUCAAAGACCAAAUUACUAAGUUAAGUAAGCUUUGCAACACCAAGUGUUAGCAGGUUCUGAUGUGGCUUCUAGACUAAGUAAUCAACAAAAGGAAUUUAUUCCAACGGAGUUCCGAUACACAUAAAUUUUUUAGUCAAACCAAUCAAAGUAGUCCUAUAGGAAAUGCUCAAAUCUGACACUUAAGGUCUGACAAAAUGAUUCAAAAAAUGUUUAUGACCCACAGGCAGACGACCGCAUCUCAAACGAACUUUCGUCUAAAGAUUCACUAGAGAUAAACGGGCAACACGAGCUAAAAGGUACACACCUCUCGAGCAUCAUGUUGUAACAAGAUUCGAAGAACCCCCAAAAAGAGAAUAAGAAUGGAAAAAGCAUGGAAGGACAUUCCUGAUAAAAGAAAUAUCGUCCUCUCCAAUCUAGCGUGAAGAGCAGAAACAAAGCAAGGGGUUCUUCAUGGGUCUCAACACUUGGUAUCGGAGUAAGAUGGUACUUUGAAGAUUACGAUAGGUACCUUUACAAGCGCUGAGUUUGGGAGAUGAUGUUUAUCAACAUGUUUAAUGAGGGCAGUUAUACUUUAUCCUUAGCCUAUAAACUCACCCAUGCUUCGCCUUGCUUCUUAUUAUUCCAAAGUUAGCUUACGCUGGAAAGUUAGCUAAAUUAGGGACAUGCCUAGAAAAAUAUGAGGAACAAGAAAGGAAUACCUUCAGACAAAGUUAAAAAGAUUCAAAACCCAGACAGGGGAAAGUGUUCAAUGAGUGGGACAUGCUCCCAUUCUAGCCUGGCAAAACAUAAAGAAAAAUAACUACUCCACAACAUCGGAGUCCCUUACGUCCUUAAGAUUAACUGAAGAGUAACCAAGAAGGGGAGUAUCAAUAGCAACAAGACCUUUCUUCUUUGUCUGUUUCUCAAACUCUAAAGAAUAUUCACUCUGCUCCGAUAAGGUGAGCAUCGAUGCAUCGACCGCAAGUGAGAAAGGAACAGGGAAAUCAAUAACCUGUAUUUCAUUCAGCAAACGAGUAGCCUCCCACUGAUUACGAUGGUCCUGACUAGUAUAGCCAUCAAGAUAACCCUGAUUGUACUCAAGGAUAAUGUCCUCUUAGUAUUGUUGUCGUGGCUCUGCGACCUCCACUUUAUUCUGCUAAGAAGAUUCUAUUUGGAUUUUCUCUAUACGGCACACUUCAUCUUGAGAUGCAUAGACCUUUUUGCAUCGCACAAACUCUACUUCAAUGCCAACGCCCUCUCUGCUUCUUCCAAACGCGUACUCAAGGCCUCCAUUUCAACAUUCCAAGCUUAUUAUGUGACUAGUAACAUCUUGAUCCUAGUACUUCUCUCUUGCAAGUCUUACACAGCCUUGAUCUUGCAUCCUAACUCACUCUUAGAAGCGGGCUCAAGUUGGGAGUUCUCAUUUGCUUAGGCCCAGAUAUGAGCUUCAGUCUAGGCGUUUUCCUGGAAGAGAUAAACUAAGGUAGGAAUAAGAAAAACGGAGCACAUAAAUAACAAAGGACAUGAAAGAUUGAGGAGACUAACCGUGUAUUUUCUUUGAUAACACAUCUCCCUAAGAUCCUUCGCAGUUUGGAUUUCCCUGGAAUCGACAUAAGCGAUAACUGAGAAAAUCAAAGCCUGAACAUAUCCCGCAUCUUGAAGACCACUUGAAUAUAGGGAAAGCAGCUCCGAACUGGCAACGGGCUUGAUCACAAAGUGAGGCACCUUAAUAGAUAUUCUUUUACUAAUAUCAAGUAAAAUGGAUGAUGUGUCAGGUGCCAGGGUAUUCGGUCCACCUUGGAGUUUGAUUAUCAAUAACGACAGUUAUAGAAUCAGGAGUUGAGAAUGCGAAUGGUUGUGAUUGCUUUUUCAACAGCCAUCGUGCUGGCUUUGGCAUCUUCAGAAUGACGGAUUUACCUUUUCCUUCACCUAGGUUCACAGAAAUUUGCUGCAAAUUGUCUUAAAUCACGGAGGCAAGGCUCAUAGUCUCUAAAACCUUAUCUAAAUAGAUCAUAAGGCCAUUUGCUGACUUGGUUUUUCUCUUAGAUGCUUUGCCCGGAGCCGCAUUCGAAGGUGAAUCUUCAGUUCCCCUUUUCCUUUUCUUUUUCUCUACUUCAAGGGCAUCUUUAGAAGGCUUUGAAGACUUUAGUGAGUCUUCGGACUUGACCCACGCAAGGUUAGGAAUAGGAACUUAGAACAGAGCUCAAUGAGGCCCUGAUGCGAAAAUAAACUUAAUACACAAAUGAAACCCUCUUUUGACAAUUGUAGUAUAUGUAUAAGUAGGGAUUGUUCUGGACCGGGGAUUAGGAGGGAUUGCUAAUCUAAUUGAAACUGACUUAAAAACACAAAAAUAAACUUAAAAACACUUAACAAGACUCAAGACUCAAAACAAACUUAAAAGACUCAAAACAGCACAAAACAACCAAAUAGACUCAAAAUUGACUCUAGGGAGUUAUUUGGACGAAAAUUGGUUUUAACUUGAGUCAAGACACUUAAAAACACAAACCAAAACAGAUUUUAACUAAUCUAACACUUCAAAGUAAAGGGGGAUUGGGUUUUGGAUGAAAAUAAAGUAAAACAAACAAAUUAAAGACUAAAACAGAUUUUGGACAAAAUUGGGAAAUUGGAUGGGUGAUGGUCUAGCUAGAAGGUCCUUCUCCACACAUGACACACUUGCAUACAAAUCAAUCUCCAAUUGCUUUUCAAUAAACCAUGAACCUCAACGCCCCAGAUUAACCGUGAAUUGCACUAAUUAACCCUAAGAUUUUCCUAAUUUCAUUGAAUUGGAUGAUUGCAUACAACAAUCCAAAGCAUUCCCCACAAGUUCCCUACAUGAAUUUCAUAAUAGAGAUACAAGCAAAGAUCAUUAAGUUCUAUGAAAAUCAUAAGCAUUGACGAGGCACUUGUAACUAUGAAUUGCAUGAACCUUAUGCCAAGAAUUUACUUAACGCGAUUGUGACUAGCAACCUUCACUACUUGUGAAUAUAAGUUCAUAACGAUUAGGUGAAAAUCCCUUAUAUUCUAGCAUCAAAUUCAUGCAUGCAAACUAAGUGUCGACCCUCAAUCAACAUACAAGAAUAAGCUUUAAAUAAAUAGUUAAGCAAAUUGCAUUCACAAUAUAUCAAAUCGCAAUUGAAAGUAAUCAAUUCAUAUUGCAAGUAUAAUCAUGGUUUCGAACUCCCCUCUAACUAUAAAGAAAUUAGUUCCUCAUGUUCGCAAUUAAACAAAGAUAACUUGAAUUAAACAUUGAAAACAAAGAUAGAAUACACCUAGAAACACUCCAGAUGGCUCAUUCUUCUCCUUCCUUAGCUGCGGCACAAGAGGAUUGUGGUGGAUGGUGUGGUGGAUGGAUGUAGGUGAUUUAUGGUAGAGGGUGGUGGUUUAAUUGCUGCACAAAGGUUUGUAUUUAUAGGGCUAGGGAAAUCCACGAAUUUCUGAAGGAAAGGAAUGUGUAUUUGGCACAAUUCAUGAAGGAAAGGGACUAGGGUUUACCAAAAUCUGAAGGGAAAAGGAUUGCAUAAUCCUAAGGGAAAAGGAUUGUAGGUUCUAGGGCUUCUAGAAAGGGUCUAGGCGCUAGAUUUUUAGGUGCUUCUAGAAAAUAUGUUUUAGCACCAAUUUAGGGGUUCUAGAAGGAUAAAGGUUGUAGAAUCUGAAAUAUAUAGUUUAAAUGCAUACUUAUCCCUUAGAAAUAGCUGGAAUUAAGGCACAAAUUGAUUUGGAUAAGAUAGGACAAGAUAAGGUUAGGUUAGGCAAGGAUAAGAUAAGAUAAGGUUGGAUAAGGUUUUGGAUAAUGUUCCUUCUUUUGAGCUGAUUUCUUAUCUUCCUUGACAUGGAUUUAUUUCUUCACUCUUUUCAGCACAUUCCUAGCCUCUUGAACUUCAAAUUCAUCCAUCCAUCUUGCUCCAUUCAUAAGCUAUCCAUUUGGUGCCCAAAACUACCUCAAAAUGCUCCAAAUUGCACUUUCUUGCCAACUUUGUCAUAUGGACCUACAAACACACGAAAAUAGCUUAAAACACUAUAAUAAACACAAACAAACUAUGAAAAUGCAAGAAAACAUCUAACUAAGUCGCAUAAAUAUGCUUCUAUCAGGCCCUCCCUCUUAUAUGCAGUUUCUUUAUCUGGCACGCUAAGCCACUUCCAACUCCGGUAUGGAGAGAGGAUAAGUUUAAACGCUUUAUUUAUAAGCUCAAGGUGGCACUGGCCGAGAUUCUGAUCAAUGUCUUGUAUGGAAUGUCACUUCCAGGUUUAUAAGGGAUUCUCGGUUCAGAUAUGUCACCCUCCCAGUUUCCUUCUAUAAAGAGAAUAUCUCUAUACUAGUCCUUAUCGUGACAUGGAAGAUCGGUGAUAUAGGCAAGCCAUCGAAGUGUGAAUUGAGAUUGAAAAAUGUAACGGAUACUGGCGUUCUUCUGGAGUUGAUAAAGAACAAGAAAUUCAGAUAAACCCAGCUCAGCAUGGAACCAAUCAUUCAGACUGUUAAAACAUGAGAUAAUACAAACAGAGGUUGGGGUGAGAUUGCAGAGACUGACUGGAAAAUGAACAAGAAUCUUCUUCCAUAGUGGCGAUAAAGGGAACCUUAAUCCAGAAUCAAGAUAGCAAGGGUGGAUUUUGGUAUAGGGACGAUCGGGUAUUUGGACUUAGGAAGAUCUGCAGCCACAUUCUCAUUGUCUUCCCACCAAAAUGAAUUGACUGAAAUUAGUUUUUCUUCCAUUGAUAUUUUUAUUCUUGGCAUGUAGUAGGAUAUAAAACCAAGUUGACACAUAAAAGAAUCAAGACAUGCACAAUCUCUUAUUUAGAAGUCAAAUAACUUAAGGUGCAAGUAACACUUAACUUGCUCAAAAGACUAUCAUUGGUAGAAUCCAACAAUGGCACACUUAUAUGAUACUAUAUAUUAUUUAACUUGAAUUUUCUACUUAACCUUUCAUUGACAUUGGUAUAAAACCGUAAAAAUAGAACCUAUGGUUCAUUAGGGGCAUCAUCAGUUGCAUUGGAUUCCGUAUUAUUUCUUUGUAAGAAGAAAAAUAUGAUAUUUUUUUUAGUUUUGUUUUUUUUCCACACAUCUAAUAUCAUGUGGUGUGGAGAUGUCAUGUUCUUACAACAAACUUCUUUUGUCGCGUUACUUAAAUCUCUCAUAAAACAUAAUUUUGGCACAUUCAAUUCAUAAAACUCCUUUAUGCGAGUACUGUUAUAUAUGAAAUGUGAAUUGUUAUUACAAGACCAAGUCAAUGUUUGGUAGCUUAAUUGGAGUACUAUAGAUAUAGAAUAGUGCUAUUUAGACAUUCGUUUUACUUUUCACACACCCUUGUUAAUUUUUUACCAUUGAUCUUCUUCAAUUUAUUCAAUCUAACAGUUGAAAAUUGAAAGGGGUGUGUAAGAAGCAAAAUAGAGUGUGUGAAUAACGUUAUCCUAUAUAUAUCGCAUCAUGUUAAAAGAUUUCAAUUCUUAACGCAAAAUAAGAAAGCAAACCACAUUACCGAUUAUUUACUAGUACACAGGCCAUGUAUACAAGUAAACUUAACAUACGCAAAUCGCUGCAUUUCUUUUAAAAAAUAAUAGUGAAAAUGAUAGUAGCUAGGUUCUUUUUUUUAAUUAAAAAACAUUACAAUCUUCUAAGAGAACGCUACUAAUGAUGUAUGGGAGUUCCUCAAAUCAGAAAAACUCAUACUUAAAAGAAGUUGUUCCUCUUCCUUCUCCACUAAAGCAAAAUUCUAGGAUGUUUAAGAGUAUGGUCCGGGUGUUUUAAUAGUUAGAUUAUAAUUUUUGUAUUUUUAAUAAAGAUAUAUCAAUUAAAACACUCGAAAAAGACCAACACCAUAAAUAGUGGAUUCUUCGGAAUUAUCUUCAUGUUGCAUGGCAUGCCGUUAAUUCAAUGGUGAAUACCUUGGAAUUGUGCCAUAAUGAGCCAAUCAUAUUCAUAGGCGACAAGACCAACACCAUGGAAUCCGAUUUGAAUUAUCCGAAGGAUUCCUUAUAUAUUAGGUUUUUUGUUGUGGUCUAUUUUAUCUGACAGAUGGACUAGGGCCGGCGGCAGAGAGAGAGAGGAGAGAGAUGUGUGUUUGUAGAAUUGUAGGGGAAUGUGUGUGUUGUUAUCCCUCCUACAUUGUGCCUUUAUUUAUAGUAGUAAAGGGAGAGAAGAUAUUCCUUCUCCUCCAAGUAAUACAAGUUGUAAUAGGAAAGGAUAACUAGAAUCAAAUCUUAUCUAGGAUUUACACAAUCAUACUUAAACUAGGAAUGUUUACAACACUCCCCCUUGAGUGGGUAAAUACUCAAGGUAGAUUCAGCAUCAUGCAGAAGUUGAGGAAGUCGACUCGUUGGCAUUGAUUCCAAGGAAACAACGCUUAUUCUCAAUAAGGUAGGAACUUGCAUAAGUAGUAAGUCUCACUGAAAAACCCUAAGGCUAUGGCAAAACCCCAAGUAGGGACAAAAUCCAUAGUCUAAGGAAAAAUGCGUGAGAAAUGCAAAGUCAAAAGAAACGUCUACAGGACGUCAUCAGGGAUAUGACCAGCCCAAGGUGGGUGCCUCGUUAAAACCUAGUUAGGUAGCAAAAAACCCAGUGGGAAAAAUGCUCCUAAUCGUAGGGAAAAAGAGUACAUUAAGAUCAAGCAAGUAUCUAGAAGAUACUCCCCCUGAGUUUGACAUAAUUCCACAGAGAAAUAGCAAAGUUACAACUCAGAAAGUUUACGCAUACCAAUUCCAUGAACAAGCUUCUGAAACGUCGCCUUCGGUAGUGAUUUGGUGAAGAGGUCGGCCAGAUUGUCUUGUGAUCGGAUUUGCGUGACUUCAAUCUUCUGAUGCUCUUGUUGUUGAUGUGUAAAGAAGAACUUCGGCGCAAUAUGCUUGGUGUUGUCUCCUUUGAUGUAACCCUUCUUGAGCUGUUCGAUGCAAGCUGCGUUGUCUUCAAAAAUCGUCGUCGGGGCAUUAACGGCGGGAUGAAGAUCACAGGAGCUUCGAAUAUGGCCCCACUACUGCUCUCAACCAAAAGCAUUCCCGAGUUGCUUCAUGUAAGGCGAGAAUUUCAGCAUGGUUAGACGAAGUGGCAACUAAGGUCUGUUUAGUUGACCUCCAAGAUAUUGCGGUGCCUCCAACGGUAAAGACAUAACCCGUUUGAGAACGCGCCUUGUGCGGAUCAGAUAAGUAUCCAGCGUCGGCAUAACCAACAAGGCGAGAAUCAACCCGAUGCGCAUAGGGUGCGGCAUCACUCGAGGAUUCGUAGGGAUAGAAUAAGCCCAAAUCCGUAGUACCCUUAAGGUAACGGAAGAUGUCUUUCACGCUAGUCCAAUGUCUGCGUGUUGGUGCAUUGCUGUACCUUGCCAAAAGAUUAACAGCGAAGGAGAUGUCGGGUCUAGUGCAUUGAGCUAAGUACAAUAAAGCGCCUAUCGCACUUAGAUAAGGAACUUCAGGCUCCAAAAUCUCUUCAUCAUCCUUCUUCGGACGGAAGGGAUCUCGCUUUGCAUCUAGCGUACGAACGACCAUAGGAGUACUCAAAGGCUUCGCUUUAUCCUCAUUAAAACGGCGCAACACCUUCUGGGUGUAGUUCGAUUGAUGUACUAGGAUUCCAUCCGAACAAUGCUCUAUCUCGAGACCGAGACAGUAUCGAGUCUUACCUAGAUCUUUCAUCUCAAAUUCCGACUUCAGGUGCGAAGCAGUUCUCGCGAGCUCUUCAGGAGUUCCGAUGAGAUUCAUGUCAUCGACAUAUACUGCAACAAUCGCAAAUCCGGAAUGUGACUUCUUAAUGAACACACAAGGGCAUAGUUCGUUAUUCACAUAUCCCUGACUAGUCAAAUACUCACUUAAACGGUUAUACCACAUUCUUCCGGAUUGUUUCAAACCGUAUAGUGAACGCCUCAGCCGAAUUGAGAGCGUGUUCCGGGGUUUGGAAAUAUUUGAACCAGUCAAUGUAAGUCCUUUGGGAACUUUCAUAUAUAAAUUUCCGUAUCAAGAUCCCCAUAGAGAUACGCGGUUACUACGUCCAUCAGCUGCAUAUCUAGUUUUUCGGAAACUACCAAACUGAUAAGGUAUCGAAAAGUAAUCACAUCCAUAACGGGUGAGUAAGUUUCGUCAUAGUCAAUCCCGGGGCGUUGUGAGAAACCUUGUGCUACAAGACGAGCUUUUUGUAACGCACAAUUUCGUUCUUCUCAUUACGCUUCCGAACGAAAACCCACUUGUAGCCAACGGGCUUUACAUGUGGAGGAGUAGGAACUACAGGUCCAAACACCUUACAUUUCGCAAGUGAAUCAAGUUCGACUUGGAUUGCUUGUUUCCAGUUUUGACCAAUCAGCUCUACGUCGACAUUCAUCAACGGAACGCGGUUCAAUGUCAUCGCUCAACAUGAUCUCAGUAGCUACUGCAAAUGCUAAUGCAUCGUCGACAAUCAUCUCAUUUCUACGCCACACAUCAUCUAAGCUAGCAUAAUAGACCGAAAUCUCACGAUUCUCGGGAGGAGGAUUCGUCUCUUCAAGGACGCUUCCAUAAUCUAGAAUUUCCUCAUGAGUUGGGUAAAAUGAGUAAGCGAUAGUCGGAUUCACGGUAGGCUCUUCAGGUCCUUGUGCCGUGGUUUUCCUCUUCCGGGGGUGUGAAUCCUUUGAACCAAGGGGUCUGCCACGCUUUUGUGUAGGGGCAGAUGAUUGGCUAGCCGCUAAUGUACGUGGAUCACCAGAAUUGGCGUCCCGGGCUUCCAGGAGGGUAGUCCGUCGUACAUUUGGUACAUCCAUCUUUGCAGGCGUAUUCGUAGCUGGAAUAUGUGAUCUUGUCACGCGCGCUAGAUCGGUGAAAGCAUCUGGCAUGCUCUGAGCUAUGCACUGGAGAUCUAAUAUGCGCUGCACUUCAGCUUCAGACUGAGCGGUGCGGGGAUCUAAAUGAGACAAAGUGGGAGUCGUCCACGAUAAUUCGCAUCGUUCAUUAGGAACGUUGACGUUCUUAUCUCCCCCUAACGACGGGAAGACUGUCUCAUAGAAGUGACAAUCCGCGAAACGAGCGGUAAACAGAUCGCCUGUCAAAGGUUCUAAGUAACGAAUAAUCGAAGGAGAAUCAUAUCCGACAUAGAUUCCCAUCCUUCGCUGAGGCCCCAUUUUUGUACGUAAGGGCGGCAAGAUCGGCACAUAGACCGCACAACCAAAAAUGCGCAGAUGCGAUAUGUCGGGUUCGCAUCCGGUGACCAACUGAAGGGCACUAAAUGGUUGUGUCGCAACAGGCCUCAGGCGGACCAACUUUGCUGCGUGCAAUAUUGCAUGGCCCCAAGCAGCGAUCGAUCGGGAGCUUGGUACGUAUGACCAACGAUCGAGCAAUCAUUUGUAAACGCUUAAUGAAAGCCUCUGCCAGGCCGUUCUGGGUGUGAACAUGAGGUACAGGAUGUUCAACUUCAACCCCAACCGACAUGCAAUAGUCAUCAAAAGUUUUAGAUGUGAAUUCUCCAGCAUUAUCCAAUCGAAUAGAUUUGAUCGGAUAAUCAGGGUGGUGAGCCCUGAGCUUGAUAACCUGAGCCAACAGUUUGGAGAAUGCAGCGUUCCUUGUGGACAACAAGCACACGUGUGACCAACGUGUAGAAGCGUCAACCAAAACCAUAAAAUAUCUAAAUGGUCCGCAGGGAGGUUGAAUCGGUCCACAAAUGUCCCCCUGAAUCCGUUGUAGAAAAAUGGGAGGAUUCGAACGAAUCUUGUCAUAAGAAGGCUUAGUAAUAAGCUUUCCCAUAGAAACAUGUUUGGCAUGCAAUUUCAUGGAUCGAACCUAAGCUUCGGGUUAGUGGAUGCCCGUGUGAAGUUUUGAGGAUACGGCGCAUCGCUAUUCGUCCAGGAUGUCCCAAACGAUCAUGCCAAAGUGUAAUUUCGUGCGCGGUCCCUGUGGUAGGGCCGGCCACAUAGUGGCAUUCUAUGGGGCGUAUGGUCGUAGUAUACAGACCACUCGGGUUACGCUCCAUCUUCUCUAGAAUACGCUUCUGGCCAUAUUCGUAGGAAGUUACGCACAAAAAUUCAACUCCGUUUUCUACGUGGGUUUCAGCGUGGUAAUUGUGAUCUCUAAUGUCCUUGAAACUUAGUAACGUUCUUCCGGAACGUGGAGAAUAGAGUGCCUCAGCAAUGGUCAAGAUUGUACCAUUGGACAACAUUAUACGUGCAUUACCGUAUCCUUCGAUCAGGUUGGAUGGGCCUGAGAGGGUUGUCAGAGGUGCAUUCUUAGGUACGAAGUUAGUGAAAUAGAUGCGUUCACGCAAAACAGUAUGCGUGGUUGCACUAUCUGCCAGACAACUAACUUUCCCACUAGUCAUACCUAGAAUGAAAAAUUAAUUUGAAUCGGUCACAUGCAUAAAAAGUUUAUAAAAACAAGUAUCAAUUCAAAAUAAUUUCAUUUAUUCAAGGAAAAAACUUAAUAUCCAAAAUAAAUCGCCAACUAAUAAUCCAAAACAUAAAGGAAAAUUGUUCAAAAUCAACCAAAAAAACAAGGUGGGUUCGGCCACAAGGUGGAAUUCGGCCCCAAUUGUCUUAUUUUAACUGAAAAAUAAGUCUAUGUCUAAGAUUCUAAUCUUCCAUAGGAGUGGUAUCCUCCUGAAAAUCAGAAACCUCCAUCUUUGUAGUCUCCGGUUCGUCCACUUGCAGGAAGUUUGAUUCAAACUUCGUACGACGAGAAUGAUAUGCAUCCACAACCUUCUUGGGAGCACGGCAAAUACGGGACCAAUGGUCCUUGGAACCACAACGAUAGCACAUAUCGUCAUUCAUUAUGGCAGGUGCUUUGCCCUUAUUCUUGAAGUUCGGGGCCUUGGGAGCGAGGUUUGGGCGCUUCUGGGCUUUGUUUCCUGCCUUGGAUGGGCCUUGGCUCUGUUGACCUUGGUGGGAUGGCUUCUGGCCGCCCUUACCACGCCUCUUUUGGCGUUUUGGGUGCUGAUUAGUGCUAUAAUGUGCUUCAGGAAGCACAGCAGUAGCCCCAGUAGGUCGAGCUUGAUGAUUCUUCAUCAACAGCUGGUUCUGCUUUUCAGCAAGAAGUAAAACAGAGAUCAAAUCCGAGAACUUAGUGAACUUCUGAGCUCUAUAUUGUUGCUGCAAGACAAUAUUAGAAGCAGAGAAGGUUGAGUAGGUCUUCUCCAAGAGAUCCUCUUCAGUCAAAGUUUCAUUGCAAAACUUGAGAAGUGAUCGGAUUAGACAAACUUCAUAAUUAUAUUCAUUCACAGACUUAAAGUCUUGGAAGCGCAAGUGCUGCCAGUCGUGUCUUGCUUCAGGCAAGAAUAUGUCCUUUUGGUGAUCGAAACGAUCAGCCAAAGCGACCCAUAAUGCACGUGGAUCCUCCUCAGCAAGGUACUCAGUUUGUAGAGCGUCAUGGAUAUGUCUUCGGAUGAAGAUCAUAGCAGUGGCUUUUUCAGCCUCGCCAACAGGUUUAUCUGUUGCUUCUUCAAUAGCAGGACGCAAGUUCUUUGCAGUGAGGUGGAGCUUCACAUCUUGAACCACUUGAGGUAGUUCCUUCCAAAAACCUCCAAAGCGGUGAAGUCGAGUUUGUUCAAGUUCGACAUGUUCCUAUCACAAAAUAGAUGGACAAGAUAUGGUUAGUGUAAUGGAGAAAAAUCAAUCCAUUCACAUAGGAGUAGAAACAUACAGGUUCUAAUAGACAUGUAUUGGUUUAAUUUUGCAUGAAAAACUUUCGGGUUUUCAUGGGUGAGAUAUAUUUAAGUGAAAACUUCGGGUUUUCAAACAAGGCAUGUGUAUAAGAAACUUCGGGUUUCAAAGUAAUUAUGAACUUCAGGUUCAUAUAUUCCUGCAGGCAAACACAAAUAUAUAUGCAAAAAAAUAUGCAAAGAAUAUAUGCAGAGAUAUUGUAUAAUGAUAAGUGAAUUAAUUUAUUUUUGGUCUUCGGGGCCAAAUUAAAAUGUGGGUGAAAAUAUAAAAACCCAUAUUAUUUAAAAAAAAAUUAAAUAAUAAAAUCUCGGGGCCUAAAAAUAUAGGCUAAGAACCCUCGGGUGGGAUUACAGGCCCACGGGGUGAGAAGAGGGGAAUGGGCUGCUGUGUGCAGCCCUAAAAAUUAUUAUUAUUUUUUUUAUUAUUAUUUGGGCCGUUCCAGGCGAGCCCAUAAACUUUUUUUUUUUUUUUUAUGCGGGCCGCUCCAGGCGAGCCCAGAAACCUUUUUUUUUUUUUUUUUUUUUUUUUUUAAUUAGAUGCAUAUAUAAUUCAAUGAAUCACAUAUUUACUUUGAUGCAUAUGCAAAUAAUAGUUUCAAUGCAUGUACAUAUGUAAGAUUCAAUUCAUGGCAAAUAUCAAAUUCACAUAAUUGUAGCAAUUUUGAUGAUGAAGCAUACACAAUUUAUGUAGAAUCUAAAAUACGUUAAACGUAAAGUUGGGUCAUGCAUCAUGGUGAAUGUUCAUGCUAUCAGGGCUUGCAAAAUAUCGAGUUAAAAGCCGUUGUUUGGAAAGAACCUGAUUGCGUGAUGAUAUGGAUGAACUGGUUUGAUGCAGAAAAAAUCUCCAACGUCAGAUUCCUAAGCGCAGCGGUAGAAGCGUGCUGAUAACGUGUUGUGGUCUAUUUUAUCUGACAGAUGGACUAGGGCCGGCGGCAGAGAGAGAGAGGAGAGAGAUGUGUGUUUGUAGAAUUGUAGGGAAUGUGUGUGUUGUUAUCCCUCCUACAUUGUGCCUUUAUUUAUAGUAGUAAAGGGAGAGAAGAUAUUCCUUCUCCUCCAAGUAAUACAAGUUGUAAUAGGAAAGGAUAACUAGAAUCAAAUCUUAUCUAGGAUUUACACAAUCAUACUUAAACUAGGAAUGUUUACAACAUUUUUAUCCUUCUUUUUGCUACUUUAUUGAUUAAAAUCCUAUUCCUUUUCAAUUUUUGAUCAAGAUCCUUAAGUAUUAAUAACAUCAUUAAUUAUUUCAAUAAUAAAAUAUUUUUUAUUUCUAAAUAUAUUCAUUUAAUGUUAAAAAUGUUACAAUUAGUAUAUUUAUAUUUAUGACUUGUUGCAGUCAUAUUUAGAAUAGGAAUGUAAUUGUGUAAAUCCUAGGGAAUAUGAGAAUGUAUCUUAUAUUCCUAUUAGGAUUAGAUUACCUAUUAAAUGUUGUAAUCCUAAAGGGAAAGGUUUUACCCUUGCUACUACUAUAAAUAAAGGCACAAUGGGGUGAAUCAAACACACCUCACAAUUAAAUCAAUCUCUAUUCUCUCUAAUAGUGGCCGGCCCCCUCUCUCUCUCUAAACCCUAGAUCGUUCAAUCAAAUAGGCCUACAACAUGAUUAAAUUUUUUAUCAUAUAUUUUUAGUUUUAGUUUAUACCCAUUUUUAAUUUGUAAUUCUUUUUUAACUUGUACCAAUUUUCUUUUCAGUUUUUUUCCACACAUCCAAUAUCAUGUGGUGUGACAACUCGUCCCAAAUUUUAUUAUUUUAUAAAUUUUAAAAUGUGGAUUUACGAGAAUACCCUAGUGGCGAGGGUAUUGAUUUUCAUUGACCGCUAGUUCAUGAUGCAUAUGAACUAUUACCUUACUGUAUUCCAAAUGUAUGUUGGUAAGAAUUGUUAUUUAUUAUUUUUUUCAUUUCAUAUUAUUACUAUUACUAUUAUUAUUAUUAUUAUUAUAAGGCUGAUUGUUAGAAAAAUAGGAGGAGGGAAAAAGAAAUAAGGGAAGAAAAUGAAGGGGGGAGGUUGCCUGAUGGCAGCAGAUGAGAGGGGGAGGUGAGGAAAUGAGAGAAAGAAGGUGGGCACUGCCUAAUCGGAAAGGAGAGAGGGAGGUGAGGAAACCAAUCAAGAAGGGAGACUGGGGAGGGAAAGGACGGAAGUGAGAAGCACCAAACCAUGCCCUUCAUCCCUGUGACCUGUUCGACCUGAGAAGAACUCGGACAUCCCCAAGUCAUUUUUGACGAUAUUCGCCAUUAUUCCUAGCAAAUCAUAACUCUUCCACACCUAAAAUCAUCAUCUAACCCUUCCCUCUUCCAUUUCCAACCAAAUUUAGAAGAAAUUUGGUUGAAAUUUUGUGAAGAACCGUUUGUGGGGUGUGACAGGUUCGUGUGAGAAAUCCUCAAAUCUUGAAGCUAGUUCUUGCAAUUAACACCACCAAAACACUUCUCUAGGGGCCAGGAACAAUUCCCGAACAUUGGUUGAGGCGGUAGAACACCAGAGGUGGAGGAUCGAGGCCAUCCAAAUUCUAGGGUUCCGACAGGUUUUAUCGAAAUUGAAGCUUUUCUCGGCUAAAUUGGCAUUGGUCACAGGUAUGAAAGUUGUUCUAGUUAUUGAGAUCUUCAAAUCUGAAAAUUUUGGUAAUUUUUAGAGAUAGUUGAUUUUUCCGACGAGUCGGGGUGGCCAACCGCCACCCACAGCGGCGCGUGGCCAGAGGGCCGCCAAUGCUAUUUUUAGGCUAUAUUUGAUGCCUUGAAUUCAGUUUGGAGAAUUGAAUGACGUAGAUUGAUUGUUAGAACCAAAAUUCUCUAAGAUACGUUAAUAUACCAUUAUAUGAAUCGACGAUCCGACAGUUGGAUCGUCAUCAAACUUUAAUAGGUUAUUAUUCAUAAUAUUUGAGGAAUAUAGGAACUUAUGGAUUGGGAAUCCGACGUACAGAUCUUCUCGAAUUGGAUUUGUAAGUUCGUAAAAUAAAAUGUUAACGGCCACUUGGUUUUGGCAAUUGGUGGAGAUCCAACCGUUGGAUCGUUCCGAAACUUUAGUAUGUUAUUUUAGAAGCAUAAUGUGGAUCCUUGAAAGUUACAGAUCAGAGAUCUGAUUUGUAUAUCUUCUGGACUGAAUUACGUAGACUCAUGUGCGAUGUAAGUUAUGUAUUGUAUCAACGAGAAUUAUGAGAUAUGGUUUGAUAAUUGGUCACAAGCGCCGAUCGUUUAGGAUGCCUUGAUGUUUGUGCUAGGAAGUUGUAGCGCGGACUCCAGGUGAGUGGAUCUUUCCUUGCUUAUCAUAUUUUUCAUGAUUGAUAAUCCUAUAAAUGCUUUUAAAUAAAACUAAGAAAUUUAUGCCAUGACAUAUAUAUAUUUAUAUGUUAUAAAAUACUAUAAGAUGGUUGAGUUUAGAUUUCAUCGUGAUAUAUCCAUAUGCGUAUUACUAUAAAUGAUUAUUGUGAACUAUGAAUGGCUUGAUCCUGCUUAGGGUACGUAGACAGUCUAAUGAAACGUUAGAUGCAGCCAUAUAAGAAAUGAGAUUAUAUAAUCGAGACAAUAGCCUUAUUUAAGGAAUUGAGCAAGGUGAGGGAUAUUGGUGAAAAAUGUGCGUUAUAACUUUAUGUUUUGGUGAUUAAUAGCUAGUACACCAUAUUAUAUAAUUGGAAAUACUAUGAAAUGUUUUUAUUUUAGAUUUCAUCAUGGCAUAUCCUUACUUAUAUUCCUUGCACAUAAUUAUUGUGAACGCUCUGAAGUGCAAAGGUGAACGCAGGACACACAGGUAAGUUCAGGUAAGUUCAAGUAAGUUUAGGUAAGUUUAAGUAAGUAUACAGUAUUAGUUGAAUUGAUGGGGUUAUGAUAUGACUACAUUUAUGUUUAAAACAACUUCGACAUUGUCGUACAGGUUGCAAUAGUAGGCAACUCUGACAUUGUCGUACGAGUUUCUUAUGAGUCGUACAUGUUGUAUUAGAUGCAUUCAAAGCUCAUAAACCUGCACCCCGGUGUUAGUGCUCCCGCCUGUGGCCAGGGCACAGUUCUUCACAUAAUGUUCACCUCCCGCACCAUACACUCACCUUGAAUUCAAGAUAGGUGCAUAGGCCUGUCAUACAUACCACUAUAGGUGGUUCCGACUCGUAAAUGGUUCUUCACGUGAUCGUAGCACUUGAGCGUACUCAUUUACACCAGUCAUGUCAUACCGACCACUUCUGUGAUUCCGACUCGUGUGCAGACGUAGUGCCGUAUAGGCCACUAGAGGUGACUCCGGUUUAUGUGCUAGCAAUGAUUAAUGAAAUAUUAGUACAGUUGUACAGGUCACUAGAGGUGACUUCGACUUAUAUGCUAGCCACGAUUGAUGAGAUAUGUGAUGAGUAUGUGAUGAUCUAGCAUAUGUAAUGAACAAGAGACGAGCUAGCAUAUGUGAUGAGUUAGCAUAUGUAACGAAUAAAAGAUGAGCUAGCAUAUAUGAUGAGUAUGUGAUGAGCUAGCAUAUGUAAUGAAUAAGAGACAAGCUAACAUAUGUGAUGAGUAUGUGAUGAGCUAGCAUAUGUAAUGAAUACGUGACGAGCUAGCAUAUGUAAUGAAUAUGUUAUGAAUUAGCAUAUAUGACGAGAUAUGGGUAAGUUGUACAGGUCACCCUAGGUGACUCCGACUUGCGUACUAGUAUAAGUUAUUAAUUGCAUGAUUAUUUGAUAUUAUUGAUGAAAUGUUGUGUUGUGGUAUAUUAUGAAUUUUUUGGUAACUAUACAGGUGUUAUAGUGAGGGAUUAUAAUGUUUUGCAUGGUUUCUAUUAAAAUUAUACUUACAGGGCCACUCACCCUUAUCUUGUCUUCACCCUCCAAGUUUUAUUAGCUAAGCUUUCUUAUCGUCAAAGAUUCGUGGAGAUUCUUAGUAUUGAAGAUUAUUUCGAGGGUACGAUUCUUAAUUCACUCUUUUGUACUUGCUUAUGCUCUAACGUCAUGUGUCAAGGGGGUUCAUUCUCGCUCACUGGUGCAAUCUGGUAUUUAGGCACUUUUUCACAUCAGCACACUUUAUGGCUACGUCACCUUUCAGGUGUCGGCCAACACAGCUCGAUUCGGAGUCCUAGUGGACAUUCCGGGUCGGGGUGUGUUAUGUGGUGUGGAGAUGUCAUGUUCUUACAACAAACUUCUUUCGUCUCGUUACUUAAAUCUCUCAUAAAACAUAAUUUUGGCACAUUCAAUUCAUAAAACUCCUUUAUGCGCGUACUGUUAUAUAUGAAAUGUGAAUUGUUAUUACAAGACCAAGUCAAUGUUUGGUAGCUUAAUUGGAGUACUAUAGACAUAGAAUAGUGCUAUUCAGACAUUCAUUUUUAUCUUUCACACAUCAUUGCUAAUUUUUUACCAUUGAUCUUCUUUAAUUUAUUCAAUCCGAUAGCUGAAAAUUGAAAAGAGUGUGUAAGAAGUAAAAAAAAAAAAAGUGUGAAUAACGUUAUCCUAUAUACAUCGCAUCAUGUUAAAAGAUUUCAAUUCUUAACGGAAAAUAAGAAAGCAAACCACAUUACUGAUUAUUUACUGAUACAUAGACCACGUAUACUAUUAAACUUAACAUACACAAAUUACUGCAUUUCUUUAAUUUAUUUUUAGUGAAAAUGAUAGUAGCUAGGUUUUUUUUUUUUUUAAAUUAAAUAACAUUACAAUCUUCUAAGAGAACGCUACUAAUGAUGUAUGGGAGUUCUUCAAACCAGAAAAACUAUUACUUAAAAGAAGUUGUUCCUAUUCCUUAUCCAUUAAAGAAAAUUUUUAGGAAGUUUAAGAGUAUGGUCCGGGUGUUUUAAUAGUUAAAUAUAAUUUUUGUAUUUUUAAAUAAAAUAACGAUUAAAACACUUGAAAAUUUGACCAACACCAUAAAUAGUGGAUUCUUCGGAAUUAUCUUCAUGCUACAUGGCAUGCCGUUAAUUCAAUAGUGAAUACUUCGGAAUUGUGCCAUAAUUAGGACUCAUUUGGAUGUACUUUUAAAAUGGCUGAAAGUGCUAUUAAAGAAAAUGUUUUUGGGUACUAAAAGCACUUUAAGUGCUUUCUGUAAAAAGCACCAAUUAUGUGCUUCUUACGGGUGAAAAAGGGGUAAUGGUAAAAAAAAAGAUAAACGGGUUAAAAAGGGUAAAUGGGUAAACGGAUAUUAAAUGGUUACGAUUAAAUGGGUAUGCGGUUAUGGGUAUGGUUAACCGUUUAUAAACGGUUAUGGGUAUGGGUAUAACCGUUUAGGCAAUUACCCAACGGGUAAACGAUUAUGCAGGUAUGAGCAUAAACGGUUAUGGGUAAAUAACCGCGGUUACCCGUCCGCCAUAACUGUUGCCCAUCCCUACAUAUAAGUAUAACAAUAGAAUGUAUGACAAACUAUAUGAAAAUGAAAAGACAUGAAGGAAAUAAAAUUGAACACUUAUCAAAUAUUCACCAACAAAGAGAUAACUUGAAAGGAAAUGAGAAAUACAAUCAAUCAGGCAAAGUUAAAACCUAUUUGAGCAAGUUCUAUUGUUGUCGGGUAAGUUCUUGCUAGUAACUUAAGUGCUUUCAAAUGAAGUUUUAAUACAGGAAAUUGAUACUACAAGCAAUGUAGCAGAGCUUUUAAACUAAACGCAAUUGCAAAUGUGUCGAAUUAUAAAAGCAAUUUGGUAAAGGUAGGUUGCAGAGCUUUAAAGUUUUUUUUUGUGUUGUGAGUUGAGUAUCCUUGUCUUCUACCUUUCUUUUACCUUAUAUAGAACAAGUUUUCCCUUUAGUUCAAGCAUCUUCCCUUCGAAGUAAUUCUCUCUCAUCCUAGUUGUUAAUGUGACUACUGAUAGGAGAUAAGAAUUUACACUGCAACUUGAGCUUUCAUCCCAUCAAAAUUAUCGAAAUGCCAUUAGAAAGUUGCUUUUCCUCUAUAAAAACCGACUGAGGUAACAACCCAAUGUGAAAGAGGGUUUUGCCGCCCACAAUUUUACAUACAAAGUGCUUUCAAAUUCUUAAGCUUGCACAUUGUUCACUUCUAUCAAAAUAAAGACUCAUAUGUGCGUUGUGUUAAAUAACAAGAUUAGGCCUCAAACAUGGCCAAUGUUAAAUUUUAAGUCCAAACAACUUUUAUUCUGCUUCAAGUGCUUGCACAUAUACAACAAAAUGCUUACCUCAUGCAGCUUGAUUACUUAUUUUCUUUUCUUUUUUUGAAACUUAAUUACGUGUUAUCCCUACACUAAUUAUUUAAAGUUCUGAAACAUGUUAUAGAAUUAUUUAAUGUUAUGAAACAUGUUAUAUUUUUAUUACCAUAAAAGCUUACGUAGUUUCAGCACGUCAUGAUAAAUGCAAUAAAAAUAUUAUAACUAACACGUGGCAUGAUUAAAAAGGAUUUUUAGACUUUUAUACACAUAGUAGCAUGUAUACAAAGGCUAGUUUAAAUUAAGGAAAAGACCAAAAAUAGUGAAAUAUCUAAGGAUUCUAACGAUUAAAACACUCGUAUGAUACAAAACAUUGAAGCCACACCUUAAAAUAAUGUCCGAAUAAUUAUCCAUCCCUCUCAUGUCUUUUCUUUUUUUCAAUUUGGUUUAUUUUAUUCUUUUAAUAUUAAAAAAAUGUAUAAACUUAAAACUUUUUCUAAGAUCCUCUAACUAACACAUGUUUGGCAUCAUUUAGAGUCCACAAAUUUUAUUUCUUUUUUUGUCAUUUCAUUGUUAGAGUAUACACCCCACAUUAAUCAAGCUACCACGGUAUGGUUUAUUUAAUUAAUUUUUUUUAUAGAAGUUAACAUGGCAAUUAAACAUAAAGGUUUAUCAUUUACUUUUUGGAGAGUUUAAAAAUUGAUCAUUGUUGUAAGUAUUUUAUGUGGUUUUUUUUUGUUGGUUUAAAAAUAGAUUUUGUUAGAUUAGUCACCGAUCGGUUUCAAACUCACGCGUCAUGCAAAGGUUCAACAUUUUUCCAUUACUUAGGUAAAGGAACGCUUAUUUAUGUGGUUGUUGGAUUAAUAUGGUAUCUUCUGUGGUAAUAUCUUCUCGUUUUAGUUCUUUACUGAUGUAAAUUGGUAAGCUUCCAUUCACCAAAUGUUGGCCCCAUCUAAAGAAGUUUUGGGAAAUGAAAAACAUUGAUUUCAUCCAUUUUCUCUAUUGUUUUAUCUCUUAAUAUUUUAUUUCCAACAUGUUACUAGUAGGCGCUAACUGUAAUUUAUUUUUUUUAUGUUUAUUUUAUUUGAGCUAGAGAUUUUAUAUGUUCAACCAUUAGAUUUGAUGAUGCUCUCAAAUUUUCUUAUACGAAUAUAAUACAUAACAUUGAAUUGAUUUCUUUUUCAUAAGUGAUAAGGUCAGAAACAUAAAAUAGCAUUUAUUAUAAGACAACUAUCUACAAAAACAAAUACCCACUACUAGAAAGCCAUUGUCAACUGUAACAUUCGUAGUUGAUGUGCAGGUUAGCUCAAAUGGGCACGCAUCAUUUGGAGCUGACAUCGAGUAAUUCUUGUUGUGGAUGUCAAUCGAACAAUCAUCGUGUGAAAUGUUCGCAGGUGAGUGCCUUGCAGACGUGUUGGAAGGAGUGAUCGUGAGUGGUGGUGGCGAGUUCGAUGAUGCCUCCACUACGGGAUAAGAACCGGCAUAACAUAGUGGUAAUACUAUUGUGGCAUGUCGUGCAUCUCCUGGAUAGGUGGUGUGCGUAUCCAAAAUGUGUUCCAAUUGUUACUUUCAACCCACCACCAAAAUAGAAACGGGUUGGGAUUUUGCUGUAAAGGCACGAUUGGUUGUCGGGCCACCAUCACUACCUUCAGAGCGCAAUCAAACAUGAACUAUAUGGUCAAAUCAAAUGAAAAAAAAAGAAGAGAGAAAUUAGAACGAAAUCGAAACAAAAGCUCAGCCUUCUUGCAGUCUUGCGCUUUCAUACAGAGAAGGACGGGCAAUUUGGUCACUUACAUACAAAUGGAGAAAACGCCCACGAUGCCAUCUUAGGCGUGUAUUAAAAUUUUUCCAGCGUGAGAAGUUUUUUAUAGAGUAAAAAGAUUUUAAGCAAAAUUUUGAGUGCCAUAUUAAAAGAGUAAACUUGGUGAAACACUUUCAACCUUUAUAGAUCUUCCACUCAUCUGUGUUAUCAAGUUGUGCAAAGCUUCAGGCCCUGAUGUGAUUACGUCCGCAACCAGAGAGGUUUGCGAUCAAGAGGAGACAAAAAGAAACAAGUACCAGAACAAGAGGGCAAGGCAAUCUUUAAGGCUUAGUUUCAGCUAUGUCCCUUAAAACUCGACUUUGACCUUAAUUUCCUCCCGAAGCUCUAAUUUCGCCAAUUAACCCCGUGAAACUCUAUUUUUACUUCAUUUUCCUAGUUUUCAUCUAUUCCAUUAAAUAGCCGUUAAAUUGUUGCAAAAAUUGAGUUUCAGGAAGUUAAGUAGCAAAAUUUGAGUUUCAUAGAGCAACGUGAGAUCAAAGUCGAGUUUCAAAAUGCAUGACUAAAAAUAAACCUUUGUUUAGACUUCGUGAAUUCUUUCCCCGGCUUUAUGUCCAUGAAUUUUCCUUUUUGUUCCUGCAUUAUACCACGUAAAAUAAAUCUUGUUAUUCUUGUACUGCAUUUUAGUUAAUUAUUUACUGCUGUGUUGCAGGAUUGAAAUUGUGCUUCAUUUGCGUUGGGUCUGGAUAAAUUUGAUCGUGGCUGGUUAUCUUUCGUAUUUGAUUUCCUCUAUCCAUUCGCAUUUUCACACUAGCUCAAGACUCACAACCAAUGGUAGCUUACUGAAGGUUGUCUUAAACUACGGGUUAGAAAACAUGAAUAAUGAAACAUAGGUUGAAACAAGAAACUUAGUAUUAUAGUCUAGUGGUAUUUCUCUUAAUAUGUAAGUGAGAGAUCUUAGGUUCGAUUCUCACCAAAAGGCAAAGGCGAAUUUGAACCAAAUUAUGCUAGCUCAUUGUGAGACUAAACUCACUCUCUCCCUUUUAGUGUAGAUAAUAUUGUUUGUUAGAAAACAUAAAAUAAAAAAAUGAAGUAAAAUAUCUAUAGAAAAAUAAAGAAAUUUGGAAAUUUGCAUACAUGAAGUUAAUGUAUUUCUAUAUAUGCCUGUGUACCAGUCAAUAAUUCAGUGAUGUGGUUUGCUUUCUUUUGCGUUAAGAGUUGAAAUCUUUGAAAACGACGAAAUAGUCCCUGAACUCAUCAGUAUUCACAUGGCCAUGCUACCAAACAUUGACUUGGACUUGUCAUAACAAAUCACAUUUCAUAUUUAAGCACGCGCAUAAACAAGUUUCAUGUUGAAUGUGCCUUAAAAUAUGUUUUAUGAGAUAUUUAAGUAAUGCGAUUGAAAGAAGUUUGUUGUAAGAAUAUGACACGAAAUAUCCAUAUUUGGAUUGUAGACAUGUAAAUUUCGUUGCAUGCAAAUGAUGUAUCACAAAACUUCACAUGACAUAUGACCCAUCACAAAUGGACAAGUCAUCGAUGACAUGUAGCACAAAUCAAGCAAUGAAAGUGUAAGAUAUUCCCAAAAUUCGGCAAAAGGGAGAAAAUCCACCUUAAAAUCGGCAAGGGACCCAAAAUCUCUCAAAACCGGAAAGAAAGCCAAAGCAUCGUCACAAAAUAAGUAAGAAUUGAAGAUUGUUCACAAAUAGGCAACAAGGCCUAUAAAUUUCGGCUAAUAUGAGGAAGGUGGCUAAAAUUAAGACAUAAAAUAUGCCUAAAUUCUCUCAGGGACAAAUCAAGCACAAAUCAAGGCCAAAUCCAUCCAAAGGCAUGGCUUUGGAAGUCUAUAAAUAUAAGGAUCCAAGACACACAAAGGGGUCGAAAAAUUACACAUUGAAAAGAACCUCUUCACAAAUCUUUAAAGACUAAUACACUGUCAAAUCUUUCUUCGAAGAACCCGCAACCAAAGCCGAAGCACUCCCUUGAAGAAUCAACAAGAACUCGUACCGAUUCCUUCAAGACUUUGUUGCAAGCUCAAAACUUGUAAUGACGUUCAAUUCAAAAUCAAGUUGCCAAGACUCUUGAAUCAAUGAAAUCUUGGAUCAACAUCACCCUUUGCCGCAACUUUGAGGUGAAGACCAUCCAAGCAUUGUUUCAAGCUCAAAACUUGAAGCAAUCAUUCAAUCGUUCGUCCAAGAUCAAGUCAUUGCGACCCUUGAAUCAACAACCUACUCAUCUACAUCAAAUUUGAAAACUGAAUCAGAGGAAAAUUAUAAACAUAGACUGUAACCUACAAAUUCAAAUCAAAACAAAUCUACUUUGUACACGUGUUCUAGUUUUAUUCGUUACAAAAUUUUCGUGUUUACAUGGAUAUGUGGAAAAACAAAACUAAAAACAUUUAAAUCAUAUUUUUCUUCUUAUAAAUAAACAGCACUGAAUCCAAUGCAACUGAUGAUGCCCCAAAAUGAACUAGGUUCUCUUAGAGUUUUAUACCAGUGUCAAUGAGAGGCUAAAUAGAAAAUUCAAGUUAAAAGAUAGUAAUAUAAGCGUGUCAUUGUUGGAUUCUACCAAUGACAGUCUAAGAGAUUGUGCAUGUCUUGAUUCUUUUCUGCGUCUAGUAACUUAAGGACUUGGUUGCUCAUGAACAAAAUCUGAAGUACAAAGAUAAGGACAAGAGUCUUACCUGCAGAACCUAAUGAAGAUGAUGAAGCCAUGACAGACUAUCAAACAGUUAACCUUCUCCUCUUUGCAAUAAAACAAGCGCUCUUAAACAAUAGGUCUUUGAUGCAGAAUGAGCAGGGGAAUUGCAAGAGCAGUGAUCAAUGUUUAUAUACUAAAUGUUCUCCUAACUGAUCUCCUAUUAGAAUCAGCUUAGGACAAACAAUUCAAUCUUAUUAAACAGGUGAACAAAUAUAGUCCUAAUACAUUCUCAAGUCCUCAAAACUUGGACUGCUAUUAGAAUUAGUAAUCCUCAAAACUUGGACUGCUAUUACAACAGAGCUGGACAAGGCUUGGAAAUGGUAUUGGUACAUACCCUCAAUCAUGUUGCUCACCCGUAGUAUAACACAUGAUAUAUCAAGUGACAAGUAUUUUGGUUACAUUUAAAAAUUUCUCAAGGGGUGUUAACAGUAUAGCGACACAUGGUUUCCUAAAUCAGUUUCAGUUAAGAGUUUGUUAGAGAAUUGUUUAAGUGUUAUUGGGAUAUAUACUCAACACUCCUCAUAAUUAUUUAUGUUUUCCAAGAUACAUAAAAAGACAGAAGCGCUCUUUCUCUUCAGUUCAUCUUCCUCAUUUUACUGAAAGAUUGCUGAUCUUCUACAAUACUUAAAGAGUAAUAAGCACAUUUAUUUCUUAUCAUGAGGUACAAAACAUGAAAUGCAGAAUGAUAAAAAGAACAAUAUAGCCUAAACCACGUUGUCAUUUCUUGCAUAUUCAUCUUGUUCAACGCUUCUUUGUCAACGAGAUAACCAGGUUAAUGUACUGGCAAUUCUCCAUUUCCAUGUGAUCAAGGACAUCUUCUUCGAACCGGUGAAACAAAUCGUCCAUAGCUGCUUCUCCGAAUUGGGUUGCCAGAAUAGGCUCUCCCACAGCCCUUAUAUCAGUGGCAAGUACGGCAGCCCUUGCCUUUCUAUCAAGGCCACUGUCAGCAUGCUUUAUAUAAGAGUCCCAAUCAUUUUUGAAAACUUCAAGGCUUUGCAAAGUAAAAGAUCCUUCAGCCUCGAUUACAUCUUCAACCUCCUUUGUUGUUGGUGCAUAAUAUGGCAGAUUGAAGAUCUCCAGUUUUUCCUUCUCAAUCAAACCCUGAAAUUCAUCUAACUGAAUAAUGUUAGUAAUUAGCAAAGUAGUUAUUGAAGGAAACAAGUACAUUUUAAGACUUUGUUGGGAAAUUCGGGUUCCUUGUCGUUAAGAUUAGGGUUCGCUUUAGGCUGCUUUUUAGUUUUCGUUAUAUAUAGGAUGUGUUUUGUAAUUUUUUAGAAUAACAAGUCAGUUAAAAUGUAUCCCUUAGUUUGUAACUCUAUCAGCAAUUUUGUUUAUUUGUUUUUUCAUUGGUUUCAUCUCGAUUAGAGAAGUAGUUAAAAAGUGGCCAUAAACUUGCGAUAGUGGUCGUAAACUAAUGUGGUUCAUAUUUAGUUGCUUUUAUUUUGUUCCUAUUUGGUACAUAGAUAUUUAGGUUUAAUUAUCUAGGCCACACAUUACCUCUAAAACCAUAUCAUUGAGUUGACUCCGACAACUUCCCAAAUGCAAAGUGGGUCAUGGCUCUUUAUGCUGCCCAUUGUGGUUAGGACCAUACUUCCUCCGGGGACCAGCUCUUCUGCUCGUGACCUCAAAAACACCGUAAAGUCCUUUUUGAAUUGCUCCAAAUACAACUUAUACACAGCAUAUGGGCUUGUUUUUGCUAUACAUAUGUUCUUCUUGUUUAGUCCCUCUCCUUCCUUGGUCAUCAAACCUUUCGGAGCCUACACAGUACGUUUUAUCAUAAUAAAUACCAUGAUUAAUUAAACCACCACGAAAAAUAUUAGUAAGUGUAUGAGGGGUUAAAAAAUAAAAUAAAAUAAAACAAUUCACACCUCAGAGAUCCACAUAAGGGCAUAAUUAGAGUGAACAAAGUGGAGAGAAUUGUUUGGAAAGAGCCUGCCAUAGAAAGAACCAGGCAUUGCAGUAAUGAAACAUGGCCCCAACUUCUGUUCUUCCUCAAGUUUCUUGUAGAACCCUGGCAAUGACCUGAACACAGUGUUGAAAUCGUUCCCAGGAAGAUCAUUCAAGAAGGCUUGGAGUGAAGGAGAUGGACGGUUCAGUUUUUGGAAGGUGGCAUGGAUGUUGUGUAUGAUAUCUGAUACCGCCAAAAGGGUGUUGGGUCCGGAAGAGCAUCCCAA
rnacentral:lncRNA from 1 species